rnacentral:pre_miRNA from 1 species
AACAGUAAGAGUUUAUGUGCUGUGAGCUGCCAUCAGUACAUGACCUCUUGCAGUGCA